CCCGAGAUGGUAUAAAAGCUUGCAACACCUGCAACCCUCUCCACAGCUCUGCUCAGCUUCGCUUGCUUGCUUCUCUUCUCCUGCUGCUCUUGACCUUCCCUCCGCCUUUUCCAAGAUGUCUUCCUGCUGUGCUCCCUCCUGUGCCGUCCCGUCCUGCCCCCAACCUUGUUGCUCCCAACCUUGUUGCUCCCAACCCUGCUGCAAUCCAUGUAGCUACCCUGUCGGUGGUCUGGGGAAACUGGAUUCCUGCUACAAUUCAUGCUGUGCCACUUCAGGCUGCGGGAACGCAACAUCAGCCCGUUGCCUCGGGAUCACCAGCGGGGCCCAUGUCGCAUGUGUCAACCAAAUCCCACCAUCGGAGAUCGUCAUGCAGCCACCUCCUUUUGUGGUUGUGGUCCCGGGGCCUGUCCUCUCUGCCUCCUGUGAGCCUCUCCGUGUGGGAGGGUACACUGCCUGUGCCGGCUGUCCCCCUUGCGGUCGCAUCUGCGGUUCUUCCUGUUAAGACGGAAAGGUGACCUUCACAGGAACGGGAACGAAACGGCUACCUGAAAAGUAUGGAACGAACUGAUGGCGGACAACUUUGCGGACUUGGUUGUCAGACCGAACGGCACUUCCUAGAGCCAGUCUGGCGUAGUGGUUAAGAGCGCGGGCUUUGAUCUGG